rnacentral:tRNA from 1 species
UCCCAGGUGGCUCAGUGGUAGAGAAUCUGCCUGCCAAGCAGAUGUCAGUUCAAGCCCUGACUGGGGAU